rnacentral:tmRNA from 1 species
GGGGGUGUAAAGGUUUCGACUUUGAAACGUACUCUCGAUGGCAUGCGGAGGACGUCGGUUGGCCUCCUUAAUCAUCCGAUAAAAACAUAAAUGCAGAUGACUCUAUGGAGCUUCUACAGGCUGCUUAAGACCUAACAGUUUUAAGUGACCCGAUAGCCUAAUACCUGACCAGGAGUGUUAGAACUAUCGUCAUCGACCCUGGUGUGAAUCUCCGUUUUACUUCUUAUACGGGGAAUUCGAGAUCGAAAGAAGAAAGCUGUUCUCUAGUGUGGCACCUUUCAGCAGGAACAUCUUUUCAAUAAACAAAGGUGCUAAGCAUGUAGUCGUUGAUGGGAAAUUUGCUAAGGACGAGGGUUCGAUUCCCUCCACCUCCAAAA